rnacentral:rRNA from 1 species
UACGAAGGGGACUAGCGUUGUUCGGAAUUACUGGGCGUAAAGGGUGCGUAGGCGGGUCUUUUAAGUCAGGGGUGAAAUCCUGGAGCUCAACUCCAGAACUGCCUUUGAUACUGAAGAUCUUGAGUUCGGGAGAGGUGAGUGGAACUGCGAGUGUAGAGGUGAAAUUCGUAGAUAUUCGCAAGAACACCAGUGGCGAAGGCGGCUCACUGGCCCGAUACUGACGCUGAGGCACGAAAGCGUGGGGAGCAAACAGG